rnacentral:lncRNA from 1 species
UCAUAUAUGACACGGAUAUUCAAUAUGCAGCCAUCCAUUGGUUCAGUUUACAAAAUCCUCCAUGAAAUGAAAUUUACAGAAUAUAUUGACAAGAUAUAUCACACAAGGUCAGGAACCAGUACAAUCCAAUUUACAAGUACAAUCCAAUUUACAACAACAGAAUAUAUGAUACUAUUGAGGUUGUUAUUCACGUUCUUGUCGUCGGCCCUCCUGAUGGUAAGUAUCAUGUCAUGGCGGAUUGUGAUGGCCAGCAUCAAAAAGCACGCUACCCAAUCAUACCUAACAUAUUUACAACAAUAUUAGAUAGUAGAUAGUAGAAAUAAGAGAAUUAGAACAGACUUCAAAAAUAAAUUACUUGUCGUCCAAAGUUCUUAAAUUUUACCAUGACUAAAUAUGAGAAUAACAAAGUAUCUACUUUAAAACAAAAAUAAACAUGAGGUUGUCUAAAAUUAAUCCAAAGAAAAGUGGGUUAAAUGAAAGUCUAAUCAAGUUGACAUAAGUGACAACAUAAUAGAACAUACAUCGGAGAACACAAGUACUCGGCGGUAGUUAAGGCCAUAUAAACCUGCUGAGAAAACGGCAUCACUAACAAACAAUAUCAAUGAAGUGAAGCCGCUGCUCAUCGAUCUGGCGGGCGUAAGCUUCAAUAUUUUUAUGUGUCAACAAGUAUAUACAAGAAACUAAAUGUUUAUCCAAGGCACUUAUAGUAGUAAAAAUCAAUUGCUUGACAAGUAAACUUCAAAUGGCAUGCAAAAUAACUAUGAGCCGUGGCCACUAAUAAAUCUAUAGAACUAAGUGGCAAAUGGUUCUCUUAAGAGACACUGGAUAGGAUGUAUCAGUUAUUGCUCUUAACAACACGCAUGCUGGGGUUACUUUUAAUUCAAGUGCAUGAGAUGAUAAAUUUCACCACCAAGAUCCAAGGGGCAGAAACAAAUUAGUAGAAAAUAACACCAUGGUGAAAAAUGCCUAACUCAGAACUAGAUCAACUAAAUAGGUGCAGUACUGUAGCAGUUGAGCUGAGGAAUGGAAAUACCGGAGAAAUCAUAGGAGUGGCAGUAGAGAACCAACCUAUGGUUGAUCACAGAGCAGCCCCACCACAGUUAUCACGGCCACCCUCUCGAGCUCUAUUGUGCACCGCGCAGCGGCACGGCUGCUAUAGCACCACCUAGACCUACAUCCCAAAAAACAGAGAUCAUAAUCAGGGUGAGUUACAGUGUUAAUUGAUCAUAAAAAAAUGGGAAAGCAUCAGCGAAAAGAUUUAGGAUCAGACAGUAGACAUCAACCCUUGUCGGCCCAUUGCAAAGGGCGACCUGGCUUGGAGGCAGGGAUUACACAGGUUGAAGAAAUGGGUAUCAAUGUGUUGACAAUUGCUAGCUUGGUGUGUGCCUCUAGAUUAAGGGACAGUGAACUAACGUGGCAUUGGUUCUAGUACUAGUAGGCACAUAACUAACAGUAGCAGUACUACAUGUGCUUAGUACACAAAUGAAUAGGUUUAAACCUCUGUAUUAUAACUGUAGAACUGCCACACUGUACUGAUGUAAUUUUCUUCUUAGAUUCAGAUUAAACUUGAUUUUGGUUAUAUAUAUUCACCGAGCUGUUGUUUACAAUAUAGAUAGAAGUGUAUGGAGAAAACUCUAAACAGAACAUGUCGUCAUAUUAACACAGUAACAGAAAUCAUGUCUCCUAUUUGAUGAAAUUAUUCACCACCUGAUUACACUGAUUCAUACUGAAUUAUAUUUUGAUAGAAAACUAAACUGAAUGCAUAUAGUACACUUAAUUAUAUUGAUUUAGAGAACAGAGAUACAUCAAACUGUCCAAAAAUCUAAACUGAAUUAGAUCUGGGUCAAAAAUUAAACAAAAUUAGAAGCCCACAUAGCACAGUGCAGCCGGUUGAUGAACAUGUGCCCUCUGUCUAUACUGGGUACCUUGCAGUGUAAAGAUACAGAGAAAAUUCAGUGUUAAAAUUCAGAGAGGAAACCCGCAAACA